CACACAGACACAUACACUGAUCAACAUACUGACACACAUACACUGACAGAAAUACUGACACCCACACACCGACAGAUAUACUGACACCCACAUACACUGAGAAAUACUGACACACACACACAGGCACAUACACUGACACACACAGACUGAUAUACUGACACACACACACACAGACAUACUGGCACACAGACAGAUAUACUGACACAUGCAUACACAUGCACUAACAGACAUACUGACGCACUGACAGACAUACUGACA